GACGAACGCUGGCGGCGUGCUUAACACAUGCAAGUCGAACGGUGACGAGGAGCUUGCUCCUCCGAUCAGUGGCGAACGGGUGAGUAACACGUGAGCAACCUGCCCCUCACUCUGGGAUAACAGUUGGAAACAGCUGCUAAUACCGGAUACGACACAGACAGGCAUCUGUACUGUGUGGAAAGUUUUUCGGUGAGGGAUGGGCUCGCGGCCUAUCAGUUUGUUGGUGGGGUAAUGGCCUACCAAGACGACGACGGGUAGCCGGCCUGAGAGGGCGACCGGCCACACUGGGACUGAGACACGGCCCAGACUCCUACGGGAGGCAGCAGUGGGGAAUCUUCCACAAUGGGCGAAAGCCUGAUGGAGCGACGCCGCGUGAGCGAAGAAGGCCUUCGGGUUGUAAAGCUCUGUCUGGAGGGACGAAGGAAGUGACGGUACCUCCGGAGGAAGCCACGGCUAACUACGUG
rnacentral:rRNA from 1 species